rnacentral:lncRNA from 1 species
UAUCAAGCCACUCGUAGCUGAACCGCUGUUAUGGGGAUGUAAGCAUUCCAGCCCCAGUUGUUAAGCGGUGGUAAGGGAGAAACACAAAUACAAAAACACAUAUACACACACACAUAAAUGAAUAUAUACGUGUACAUAUAAUACAUAUAUAUAUAUAUAUAUAUAUAUAUAUAUAUGUGUGUGUGUGUGUGUGUGAGAGGGAGAGAGUGUGUACGCGACGGGCAUCCAGUUUCCAUGUACAAAAUCCUCUCACAAGCGUUUAGUCGACCCAAGGUUAUAGCAGACGUUACUUACUCAAGGUGCAACGUGGUGGGAUUGAAACUGGAGCUAUGUGGCUGGGAAGCAAACUUGUUACCACACUUUCACACCUGUAACUAUACAUAACCUACCUUUAAUUAUAUACAACUUUCUACAUAGAUAUAUGUAGUUGCAUUUACUUCUCUAUACAUGCUUAUAUAUAUAUAUAUAUAUAUAUAUAUAUAUAUAUAUAUAUAUAUAUAUAUAUAUAUAAAGUAUUGAUUGGGUAUUAUCUGAUGGUUGAUGAUUGAUUGAUUUAAGUAUGUUUCUCCAUUUUCUCAUUUUGUAUAUAUAUAUAUAUAUAUAUAUAUAUAUAUAUAUAUAUAUGUAUGUAUGUAUGUAUGUAUGUAUAUUAUUUAUUCUUUUAUUCUUUUACUUGUUUCAGUCAUUUGAAUACGGCUAUGCUGGAGCACUGGCUUUAGUCAAACAAAUCGACCCCAGGACCUUUUCUUUAUAACCCUAGUCUCUUUUGACGAAUCGCGCUCUAAGUUACGGGGAUAUAAACACACCAACAUUGGUUGUCAAGCGAUUGUGGGAGGACAAACACAGACACACACACACAUGCACACACACAAACACACACACACACACACACAUAUAUAUACGACGGGUUUCUUUCAGUUUCCCUCUACCAAAUCCACUCACAAGGCUUUGGUCGGCCCGAGGCUACAGUUGAAGACACUUGGCCAUGGUGCCACGCAGAGGGACUGAACAAACUACUUACAACACAGCCAUGCCUGCAUCUUUUAUACACACACAUAUAUAUAUAUUUAUAUUUAUAUUUGUGUCGGGGGCGUAAGCACAUCGACACCGGUUGUCAAGCGGUGAUGGGGUGAAAACAAACCCAAUCAUCGCCUCCGCCACACACACACACACACACACACACACAUAUAUAUACGACGGGUUUCUUUCAGUUUCCCUCUACCAAAUCCACUCACAAGGCUUUGGUCGGCCCGAGGCUACAGUUGAAGACACUUGGCCAUGGUGCCACGCAGAGGAACUGAACAAACUACUUACAACACAGCCAUGCCUGCAUCUUUUAUACACACACAUAUAUAUAUAUUUAUAUUUAUAUUUGUGUGUGUGUGUGUGUGUGUGUGUAUAAUAAAUUCUCGUAUAUUCUAUCUUUCGUCUUUCAUUUGCAAUAUGUAUAUGUAUUUAUAUUCGUUCAUUCUUUUACUUUCAGUUAUUUGAUUGCGGUCAUGUUGGAGCACAGCCUUGAAGGAUUUUUCGUCGAAUGAACCUGUUUGCCGAACCAAUAAAGUUACGGGGGCGUAAGCACAUCGACACCGGUUGUCAAGCGGUGAUGGGGUGAAAACAAACCCAAUCAUCGCCUCCGCCACACACACACACACA